CCUACGGGAGACAGCAGUGGGGAAUAUUGCACAAUGGGGGAAACCCUGAUGCAGCGACGCCGCGUGCGUGAUGAAGUAAUUCGUUAUGUAAAGCUCUAUCAGCAGGGAAGAAAAUGACGGUACCUGAGUAAGAAGCCCCGGCUAACUACGUGCCAGCAGCCGCGGUAUUACGUAGGGGGCAAGCGUUAUCCGGAUUUUCUGGGUGAAAAGGGAGCGUAGAUGGCAGUGCAAGUCUGGAGUGAAAGGCGGGGGUUCAACCCCCGGACUGCUCUGGAAACUAUACGGCUGGAGUGCAGGAGAGGUAAGUGGAAUUCCUAGUGUAGCGGUGAAAUGCGUAGAUAUUAGGAAGAACACCAGUGGCGAAGGCAGCUUACUGGACUGUAACUGACGUUGAGGCUCGAAAGCGUGGGGAGCAAACAGGAUUAGAUACCCUGGUAGUC
rnacentral:rRNA from 1 species